rnacentral:rRNA from 2 species
UCCAAUCUCCCCAGAGCGGAGCGCAUUUGUUCGCCACAAAACCAAGCGCCCUCCGGGCGUCCAGUGUUGACUCAGAACAACUAAGCUGAUCGCACGGUCUUGUACCGGCGACGUGUCUUUCAAGUGUCUGCCUUAUCAACUUUCGAUGGUAGUGUAUCUGACUACCAUGGUGAUGACGGGUAACGGAGGAUAAGGGUUCGACUCCGGAGAAGGGGCCUGAGAAAUGGCCACUACGUCUAAGGAUGGCAGCAGGCGCGCAAAUUACCCACUCUCAACGCGAGGAGGUAGUGACGAGAAAUAACGAGACCGAUCUCUUAUGAGGCCGGUCAUCGGAAUGGGUACAAUUUAAACCCUUUAACGAGUAUCUAUGAGAGGGCAAGUCUGGUGCCAGCAGCCGCGGUAAUUCCAGCUCUCAAAAUGCAUAGAAUUAUUGCUGCGGUUAAAAAGCUCGUAGUUGGAUCUGUGCUAGCCGUCCGGUGCACACUUUGUGUGUUACUGGUUUGGUUGGCUUUUCUGCCGGUCUCUCCCCGGCGUUGGCCUUUACCGGUCGGCGUCGGUGGGCUGGCGAGUUUACUUUGAACAAAUCAGAGUGCUUCAAACAGGCGUUUCGCUUGAAUGUUCGUGCAUGGAAUAAUAGAAGAGGAUUUCGGUCCGAUUUUAUUGGUUUUGCUGACCGAGAUAAUGGUUAACAGAGACAAACGGGGCCAUUCGUAUUGCUACGUGAGAGGUGAAAUUCUUGGACCGUAGCAAGACGGACUACAGCGAAAGCAUUUGGGCAAGAAUGUCUUCAUUAAUCAAGAACGAAAGUCAGAGGUUCGAAUGCGAUCAGAUACCGCCCUAGUUCUGACCGUAAACGAUGCCAACUAGCGAUCCGCCGGCGGAUUUAUUCGCCCUGGUGGGGAGCUUCCCGGAAACGAAAGUCUUCCGGUUCCGGGGGAAGUAUGGUUGCAAAGCUGAAACUUAAAGGAAUUGACGGAAGGGCACCACCAGGAGUGGAGCCUGCGGCUUAAUUUGACUCAACACGGGGAAACUCACCCGGCCCGGACACCGUAAGGAUUGACAGAUUGAUAGCUUUUUCAUGAUUCGGUGGAUGGUGGUGCAUGGCCGUUCUUAGUUCGUGGAGCGAUUUGUCUGGUUUAUUCCGAUAACGAGCGAGACUCUAGCCUACUAAAUAGUUGGCUCAUUGCUUCUGUGGGCACAACUUCUUAGAGGGAUUUUCGGUGUUCAGCCGCACGAAAUUGAGCAAUAACAGGUCUGUGAUGCCCUUAGAUGUCCGGGGCUGCACGCGCGCUACACUGGCAAAAUCAGCGUGCUUGUCCUUCCCCGAAAGGGGUUGGUAAACCGGUGAAAAUUUGCCGUGAUUGGGAUCGGACAUUGCAAUUAUUGUCCGUGAACGAGGAAUUCCUUGUAGGGGCGAGUCAUCAACUCGCUCUGAAUACGUCCCUGCCCUUUGUACACACCGCCCGUCGCUGCCCGGGACUGAGCCAUUUCGAGAAAUUCGGGGACGGUUAGUGUUCCGGCUUCGGUCGGUAUGCAGACUGGAACCGAUUUAAUCGCAGUGGCUUGAACCGGGCAAAAGUCGUAACAAGGUAGCUGUAGGUGAACCUGCUGCUG